AUUGAACGCUGGCGGCAGGCCUAACACAUGCAAGUCGAGCGAGCGGCGGACGGGUGAGUAAUGUCUGGGAAACUGCCUGAUGGAGGGGGAUAACUACUGGAAACGGUAGCUAAUACCGCAUACCAUCAGAUGUGCCCAGUUGGGAUUAGCUAGUAGGUGGGGUAAUGGCUCACCUAGGCGACGAUCCCUAGCUGGUCUGAGAGGAUGAACAGCCACACUGGAACUGAGACACGGCCCAGACGCCUACGGGAGGCAGCAGUGGGGAAUAUUGCACAAUGGGCGCAAGCCUGAUACAGCCAUGCCGCGUGUGUGAAGAAGGCUUUCGGGUUGUAAAGCACUGUCAGUGGGGAGGCGUUACUCACAGAAGAAGCACCGGCUAACUCCGUGCCAGCAGCCGCGGUAAUUC
rnacentral:rRNA from 1 species